UGGGGAAUCUUGCACAAUGGGGGAAACCCUGAUGCAGCGAUGCCGCGUGAGUGAAGAAGGCCCUUGGGUUGUAAAACUCUUUCGUCGGGGAAGAAAAUGACUGUACCCGAAUAAGAAGGUCCGGCUAACUUCGUGCCAGCAGCCGCGGUAAUACGAAGGGACCUAGCGUAGUUCGGAAUUACUGGGCUUAAAGAGCUCGUAGGUGGUUAAAAAAGUUGAUGGUGAAAUCCCAAGGCUCAACCUUGGAACUGCCAUCAAAACUUUUUAGCUAGAGUGUGAUAGAGGUAAGUGGAAUUUCUAGUGUAGAGGUGAAAUUCGUAGAUAUUAGAAAGAACACCAAAUGCGAAGGCAACUUACUGGGUCACUACUGACACUGAGGAGCGAAAGCAUGGGUAGCGAAGAGG
rnacentral:rRNA from 3 species